rnacentral:rRNA from 1 species
GACAGAGGGUGCACACGUUGUUCGGAAUUACUGGGCGUAAAGCGCGUGUAGGCUGCUCGGGAAGCCGGGUGUGAAAGCCCUGGGCUCAACCUAGGAAGUGCACUCGAAACUUCCGAGCUGGAGUGCUGGAGAGGAAGGCGGAAUUCUCGGUGUAGAGGUGAAAUUCGUAGAUAUCGAGAGGAACAUCGGUGGCGAAGGCGGCCUUCUGGACAGCGACUGACGCUGAGACGCGAAAGCGUGGGGAGCAAACAGG